GUGCUUGCUUCGGUAGCGUACAUACUAAAACUAAAACGAUACGGAGACCUGCACGGUCCCUGCACAAGGAUCGCAUGCGAAUUUGUGACGUGUUCCACAUAUUA
ensembl:snRNA U6 U6 spliceosomal RNA